GACUGACCAUGUACCACCAGCUCUUCAAGCUUCUCCUUCCAACAGUCUCUGCUCACAGUCCCAGUGUUUCCAGUGUUCAUCCAUUCAGAUCUUCUCUCCGAGGCAAACUGUAAACGAAAGAGAAGGGUGCUGUAACUUGAGAUAAUAUCCAGAGUGCUUGAAUUGAAACUUCUGUGAAGAAUACACACUCAUUUGUCCCCGAACAAGAAAAAAUGUGAACAUACACAUUGUGUCUGUACCUCUGAUGUGAUAUGGGAAUUUUGGUGAUGGAGUAUCCAAGUACUGCAUGUGGUUUUUGAACUUCUGUGAGCAAGCAGAGGUGGAUAAUUCAUCCUGGCAGUUUUGAAGUGCAAUAAA